UGGCCUGCGCGGAAAAGGCUCGCGCCUGCGCAGUAGAGUUCUUAGAUGACCCGCCCCGCAGGCGUAGCCGACCAAUCGGAAUCCGACAGGAGGUGCAAGGCACCCAGGGAAGCGAAAGUGUGAGAACCAGCUGGAAGAGCUGCCCCUUCAUAGCUACGUGGCGCGGCUGCAAGCCUCGCGCGGCGCAGGCUCCUGGCGUGAUGCCUGCGGUUUCUUUCGCCCGCCCACGACGGAAGAUUCACUGUAUUUCAAAGAACACACUUUACCAACAUUGAAAUGGAAACCAGAAAAGAAAGGUAAAUGGCAGAGAUAGAACCAAACAAGGACCACUUGACUUAGCAGAUACAGAAGAUUCCCAAGUCCGGACUCCCUCCCCAGCACCCCAGAACUCAGCUAGCCUUUCCACACCACACACAAAGGUACCGGUUACUGAGGGAGACGUCACCAUGAAGACCAGAAGGUCGAUGGCAGAACUUGACAACAGGGCGCCGUGCAGACGGCACAGUUUGGACUCGGUACACCCCAGGGACACAGCCCCGGAGAAUGGAUCCCACCAGCUCCAGCAUUGCUGCUCCCUCUGGCUUCUCCCCCUUUGGGGCCUCUGCUAGUUCCAGGGCCUUUCCCAGGUCCUGCUCUCCCCUGUCUUCCUGCAGUGGUGAGGCUGGAGGCAGGGACUGGGGAGAGGCAACAGUCUCAGAGGCCAAAGCCGAGUCCGGAGUCUGGGGUGCCAGAGAGGAGGAAGGAGUUCCACAGUCCAGGGCUUCAGAACCUUGGGGAGAAGCUGGAGACUGUGAGCCUAGAGGGGAGGCUAGGGCACAGGCCAGGGCUUGAGGAUCCAGUGGAGAAGCAAGGGCUGAGUCCAAUGAUGGAGACUCGGGAGCCUUUAAGACUGACUGUGAAUAGAAAUGAGCUGUGUGAAUGCCUCUCCUACUAUCCCCUAACCAGGGGACAUCUCUGACCCCAAGACAGUAUCUAUACUUAACGGUUAUUAUAUGGGCUUUACGUAUAUUAACUCAUUUUCUCCUUCCUCCUAACAAUCCUUUCUUAAAAUAAACUUUUAAUCCUAUAAAA